rnacentral:rRNA from 1 species
AUUGAACGUUGGCGGCAUGCCUUACACAUGCAAGUCGAACGGCAGCGCGGGAGCAAUCCUGGCGGCGAGUGGCGAACGGGUGAGUAAUACAUCGGAACGUGCCCAAUCGUGGGGGAUAACGCAGCGAAAGCUGUGCUAAUACCGCAUACGAUCUACGGAUGAAAGCAGGGGAUCGCAAGACCUUGCGCGAAUGGAGCGGCCGAUGGCAGAUUAGGUAGUUGGUGAGGUAAAGGCUCACCAAGCCUUCGAUCUGUAGCUGGUCUGAGAGGACGACCAGCCACACUGGGACUGAGACACGGCCCAGACUCCUACGGGAGGCAGCAGUGGGGAAUUUUGGACAAUGGGCGAAAGCCUGAUCCAGCCAUGCCGCGUGCAGGAUGAAGGCCUUCGGGUUGUAAACUGCUUUUGUACGGAACGAAACGGUCUUUUCUAAUAAAGAAGGCUAAUGACGGUACCGUAAGAAUAAGCACCGGCUAACUACGUG